UACGUAGGGGGCAAGCGUUGUCCGGAAUCAUUGGGCGUAAAGAGCUCGUAGGCGGUUCAGUAAGUCAGGUGUGAAAGCUCCGAGCUCAACUCGGAGAGGCCACCUGAUACUGCUGUGACUAGAAUCCAGUAGGGGAGUGUGGAACUCCUGGUGUAGCGGUGAAAUGCGCAGAUAUCGGGAGGAACACCGGUGGCGAAGGCGGCACCCUGGGCCAGUCCUGACGCUGAGGCGCGAAAGCGUGGGGAGCAAACAGG
rnacentral:rRNA from 1 species